CAUUUUGAUUGGACGGCCAGGGAAGUAAAAUGAGAAAAUCGAAGUCACUUACCGAUGAAACAGGCUAUAUUUUAGGGGUAGUGUGUAAGCUUUUAAUCUUUUAUUUUUAAAAACUUAACCGGUUACACUCAACCGGUUAUUUUACUCAAUCAACCGAAACGUUCAUCUUCUCCAUACUCUGCUCAUUUCUUCCGAACUCAACCCUUUCUCCACCUUCAUCUUCCUUAUUUUUUUUUUCAGUUUAAUAUACUCUGGUGGAGGCUUGAGGAGUUUUACACUCGGUACCUGGAACCAGAGCUCGAGAGCAUCAUUGGACUUCCAAGUUGAUAAAUGCUGAGAGUUUUUGGGUGCCUUAGGAUUAAAAUGCUGUUCAAAUGAUGCUACUUUGUCCAGGGUUAAGUACUCUAUCGAUGGUCUGCCACAUUGGAAAAAAUGAAGAUUGAAAAUACCCAAUUGGAGGCCUUACUUUGAGAGCAAAAUAGGCUUCAACACGCUGGGAUGCAGAAAGAGCUCGCUGGAAAGUGGAGGGCUGCUUUAAAUGCUGGCUCAUACCAGUAAGUCUGAGAAGGAGAAAGUUGUUGAUAAAUCUUCCCCUUGUAAGUCUCUGAAGCAGAAAGAGGAGAAUUGAGAUAGCAAGACUAAACAGAAGAAGCACAAGGAUGUGGCACAACCUUCUGGUCAUAUUGACAGGGAGAAGUCUAUGGUUGAUGAACUUGGUGUGGAGGUUGACUCGCAUGACACUGUGAGCUGAUCUUCAUUCGAAUGGGUGGUUAGGAUAGUGAAUACCCUGUCUGAGGAUCAAAAGUCCAUGGUUGUCAAGGUUUGAUUCAAUUCCUAUCUAAGUUUAAACUUUCCAAGUGUGUACCACCCACUAGUUCAUUGGCUGGUUCAGAGGGUUGAUGUGGGUUGCAACUUCAUAAAGUUGUAUGGCAAGAGAAUCCCAAUGUCGGCUAGGAUUUUUCAACGAGUCAUGGACAUUCCAGAUGGAGAUUUGGCGAUAGACCUUCAAGAGAAGGUCCCCAAAAUAGAGUUGAAGGCUAAGAUCUUCGCUGGCAGCAUUAGAAUCCAAUUGUCGAUUUUGGAGAGAAAUCUUGUGAAUUAUGAAGAAGCUGAUGAAUAUUUCAUGGCCAGCUUCAUCCUUGUCAUCAUUGGCAGCAUCUUGGUCCCUGGUUUUGGACCGGAGAUUCGUACUAGUUACAUAAAUGCGGUUAGCGAUCCCACCAACAUUCGACAUCACAACUGGGUUGCCCACGAGUAUAGUGCCCUCAUGAAAUCCAUCGAAAAGUAUCAAGCUAGUCGUAUGCAUCAUAUAAAUGUAUGCACUAUUUUUCUUCAGGCUCCUGGAAAUACAGUUGAGGAGGCUAGUUUAAACAUGGACAAUUUAACAAAACUACAAUGUCAAAAGGCAUCCUUGGUGGCACUAGUUGAGGGGUUACUUGAGGCAGUUAGCCUUGUGAUUUCGCGGGAGAUUAAGCUCAUCAUUGCUGAUAAAGUGGUAGGGGAUGCCCAUUCAAAAUAGGGUGCCGAUAUUGGGAAAGAAAGUGUUGGUCGAGGUAGUGAGGAUGCAGACAUUCCACCCGUCAUGGACUUGACUCAUGUUGUGGAGAGUACAUGUGUUCAUAAUGAGCAAUAAGAACAUUAGGUAGAACUGAAGAAAUGGGGCACCGUUGGUUAUGAGAUGCUUGAGUCCAGUGAAGGCCUUGUAGGGUCUUUCAAUCUAUUUUCCUCUAUAUCAAUGCAGAUAUUUGAAUUGGCAGAGUUCAUGUAUGUAGUAUGCCAUUAUGACCAACUUAUAUUUGAUCGAGAAUGCAUGAGGUCAAUGGAGUCUCAGAAAAGGGUGCAGCCAGAGUUAUAACAUGCUAUAAGCUUCUUCAGGAGACUUAAUUUAAAGUAAUAUAAUCUCUAUAAUAAGAUAAAUAUAUAUUUUUUUCCAAAUAAUUUCAGCAUAUGCGCAGAUUAUGACAUUCAAGGAGUGCAAGAAAUACGAAGAUGAUUCCUCUCCUUUGGUUUGGUUCAUACCAGCAAAAAUCUCAGUAAGCUUAUGCUACUUUGGAGAAUAAAGCAUCUUAUGGUAAAAAAGCUUUUGAUAGUCAUCCUUCUUAUAUAAGGCAAAGCAUGAAUCAAUUAUGGCAGCCCUCCUUGGCCUUCACUUACAGGAUUUCCUUUUCAUUACCAUGCUAAAGUACCGAAAAAGACUUUCCACUCACUUCCUUUCAUUUGUGAUUUCCUUUACCGACACAUGCUCAAUAUUGGGUAGCGCUUCUUAUCUGGAAAUCCAUUCACACUUCAAGCUUAAACUAAUAAAGAAAUGGCAUAUAUUACUUUUAUGCAUGAAGCUUUGUGCCUUUGGUUGUCAUAAACAUGUAAUUUUAUCUAACAUUUUUCCACAGCAAAACAUCUUGGACCCAAAUAACCUAUUCAUCGGGUUGCGUUUGUUAAGAACUGGAAGGUAUUUCACAGUGGUAAUUUCCAAACAUGCCGAGAGGCUAGUUUAUGAAUUUUGGAAUAGUGGAUGAACAUGAAUGCAGUUGGAAUACUUAAGUAUAAUAUUAGGUAACUUGUCAAUGAAUUUAAAUGCAGUUGUUAGUCCCGCUAUCCCUGACGAAGGGUCCCCUGUCACUAAUUGUUUCAUGUUGAGGAUCAAUAUUGGGGUGAAGGCAGUGAAAAUUUGGGACCCUAAGUAUACUAAAGAGGGAAAGGAAGAUAAAAUAGAUUAUGCAAAAGAAGUGGUAUGUUUAUAUAUAUAUAUAUAUAUAUAUAUAUAUAUAUGAAGUAGUAGGAUACUGAAUGAAGAAUGUAAACCUCUCAAUUCUUGGUCAUGAAACAAAAACCUAUUUGAUAUAGAGGAUCGAUACAAAUAUUAAAGGAAAGUACUUAUGUUCAACCUAACUGUUGACCACAAUUUUGGCCAACUGCGAGUAGACGCAGAAACGACAAUAAACCUUGAGUUGGUAACACAAAUAAUUUUUAUAGUGGUUCAGCCCCAGUUUGUUGGUAAUAGCCUAAUCCACUUAGAGUUGUGAUAUAUUUAACCAAUACUUAAGAUCAGAUGAACCUUAGUCAACUAAGUUUCUCAAGUAUAAGUAGAAAAAUAUAGUGUUUCCCUCUCUGAACUCUUAGAAAAUGCUCCUAGAAUGCCCAAAGUAAUGAUCACAAAGUCUCCAAACUAGAAAGUUUUCUUUCAAUCCCCAGAUCUUCCUAAAUGAUGCCACAAGCCAUUUAUUUAUAGGCUCAUGGAUUGUACAUGAGAAAUAUCCUGUUUGAUGGGGUCCUUUGUUGUUCCAACCAACUUUAAUUAAUAAAAUAUACAUAAAUUCAAAUUACAACAAUAUAGCUAUUACUUCGGGAUAUCUGAGAGAUUCCCGCGGCAGUUAAGGGUGAUUUGGGUUGAAGCUGUUACUGAGGCUUUACUAAAGAGUCACUGGACGGUUAACUCCUGAGAUUCUGAUCCAUCCGGUUGACUAAAUCCAUUCCCCGAAGUGACUGGCCGGCAAAAACACAUUACUGGUUGGCCAAGACACCUCACUGGUCGGGCAAAUCACUUCUGACCAUUAAUAUCACAACUCCGCAAGUCAACUCCCAACAUUUUCACUUCUUUAGUCAACACAUUUAUUGACUAUUAAUGUGUCAUUUACUGACCAUGCAUUACCACUUGUUUAUCCGAUUGCCAUGUCAUUGAACAAAAUUAUUGGGGAUAACAUUUGCCCCCCAAGUUUAUUAUAUAAUUUUCUCAUAUGAUAAACUUUUCCUACUUCUCGUAAGGAUCUGCAGUAAAUUUAAUAAUUACUGUGUCCUAAAAUUCCAAAAAUGACCAUUGGCAUCUUCUCGCCUUUUGCAAAUAAAGGUAUAAUUAAAAUUUUCAGCCAUGAAAAUGGCAGUUACUCGUUUCCAAUCAUUGGAGAGAGAAUACCAAGAGUCUUCAGGGAAAGUGGGAGUUUCCUUUUCUCUUCCUUUCUCUCCUUUAAAUAGACCCACGGAUGCCCACUACUCAUAAGCAAGAAUUUCAUCGUCAACAACACUCUCCUUUCUCUUGGUCGAAACCUCCACAAAUUUCCAAUGCACUUCAACUUCUCCAAGCAAAUCCAAGCUUUCUCAAGAAAUCAAAGGCUCUUCAAUACAUUUGGGUAAGAUUCUCCUUCUUCAUCUUUAUCUUUAAGCUUUUUAAACUUUAAAAAUCAACACAAAAACUUGUUAGAACACACACAUGCCGAAACCCCUUUUGAAAUAUCUUCUUGGAUUUUUUGUGAUAAAUCUUUGUAGAAUAGAGACUUUGUGGCUGAUAUAGUGUAGUUUGGGCUUUAGGUUAGCCAAUUUUUCCAUCAAUUUUAUGAAAUUUUGAAAGAAAAAUGUUUUCCCAUCACACAUUGUAGUUUCAGGUUCAUGGGUUUAAGAAGAGCAUAUGGUUUUUUCUUGAGACUUGUUGAACUCAUAGAAUUCCACUUUUUGAUCUUGUUUGCAUAGUCCAAGAUCAAGAAAAUAUGUUUAUACAUCAAGCUAUGCUCCAUACCCUUUAGCCCAUCAAACUUGUUUCUUUUGCCACACCUAGCCGAUCGGACCCCUGUUUGGCCCUCGUGUGUUUUUUCUCCUAGCUGCUCGGACACACAUCCUUGCUCCUUGGACGCCCAGCUCCUCGGACAUGCCCAGCUCUUUAGACACACCAGCUCCUUGAACAUGCUCAGCUCCUCGAACAUGCUCCUAGCCGCUUGGGCACCGCACAGCUGCUCGGACACACACCUGAAUGCUCGGACACACACCAAAUCACUCGGACACACCAGCUCCUUGGAUACGCCAGCUCCUCAGAUACGCCCAACUCCUUGGACACGCGUAGCUCCUCGGACAUGCUCCCAGCUGAUCAGACACACACUUGAAUGCUCGGACACACACCAAAUCACUCGGACACACCAACUCCUCAGAUACGCCAGCUCCUCGGACAUGCCCAACUCCUCGGACACGCCCAGCUCCUCGGACAUGCUCCCAGCCGCUCGGGCAUCGCACAGCCGCUCGGACACACACCCGGUUGCUCGGACACCACCUUAGGCCUUAUACCCCUGAACACCACACGACAUUCGAAACUAUUUGAUUGUCUUUUCUCUGAAUCUCUCAAAAUUACUAUUAUUUCCCAAAAAGGCCUUUAUCUGCAGAAAAUUGAUUUCUCUUCUCAAAGAAAAUUUUUCACUGAGUAGUGUAUAUUUUUGUUUUUUCAUUCACUUUCUGUUUGGUUUACUCACCUCCCCUUGACUACAGGGGAGGUGACAACCAAACAGACUCCGACUCCUCAGUUCCUGCUUCAAGGGACACUAUUCCGAGCAGUGAUUCUUCUUCUAAAUCCCCCAGCAAACGAACUCCUGAAGACCGCCUCCGUCACCUCAAGAAAAUCCUUAUGCGGUCAGCUUUAUAUUUUCUUCACAAAGAUAAGUUCCUUAAGCAACAACACCAGCACCAACCGAUGAGGGUGAAGAAGUCUAAUCGACUCCCUCAAGAACAAGAUCCCCAAGUUGCUCAUAGAGAAACACAAAAGAUGGUAGAAUGAGUACCCUGUGUGGGAGAAAAUUUAUUAGGAGAAGCCGAGACUAAAGCUUCCUCAAAACCACCUCGCCAAGCUCGAAAAACUGGAAAACCCAAGAGAAAGGUUACCCAAGCAUUCGCCAUAGAAAUCAAACAAACUGCUACACUUAGGCUGAGGAAAGAUGAAGAUGGUGUGCCUUCCUGGUUUGUAGCUAAGCCUUCUAAACUACAUUCCAAAAUGUUUGAUAAGCAUAUCGAGACUUUGGUUCUCGAAGGAGUGAAUGUGAUAUGUCCACACCCUAACCAAAGAGCCAAUAAUCCUGGUGGAGCCUAUUGUGCCUGGUCCAAGUAUCACAUUUAUGCAGGAGCCACAAUCCCCUUGCAUCCCUUUUUUAGAUCAAUAGCAGAUUACUUCAAUGUGUCUCCCUUCCAGAUUGCUCCAAAUGGUGUAAAAGCCUUGUCUACUCUAUACAUUCUCUACCACUUUCAAGGUUGGAACCUGCCUAUCCCUCACGAGAUACACUAUUUGUUCGAUUUUAGGACUAACCCCAGUCACAAGAAUACAGGUUUUUUUCACCUCUUUUAUAGGCAAAAAGGGGUUAAGUACCUUCAUGGUAUAGCCCAUAAAUUGAACCUUGGGAAAUAUUAUUCAGAAUACUUCCUUACUACAGACAUUAAAGCCAACAACCUGGCUUUUACACAUGCCGACCCUUUUGAUCAAUCUCUCCCAACUAGGGAAAUGCAUGCUUAAGCAGAAGAACUUGCCAACAUGCCUCUAGAUGAAAAAGAUGUUGAACAGUUGGUCUCCUUGGAGAAUCUCCGCUUAGUGGGAUUGUUACCGAACAACCAAGAUAUUGUUGUUGGUAGUACGACUAAUGACACUAACACAACUGAUGAGUCUAAUGUCGAUACUGAAGUAGUGACCGACCAGUUUUCUCCUAUUCCAUCCCCUCAUCCACGCCGACCAGGUGGUCCCAUUAUUAGAGAGCCUCAUUUUGAAAAUCCUCACCGACCCGCCUUUCUCGUUAGGCUUGGCAAAGACAAAAGUAUCGAGCUCUUUAGAGAAGACAACUCAUCGCCGUAGGACGAGGACGAGGACGUGGAUGAGUUUUUUAACAAAAUUCUGAACUCAGGUUUUGCUGACAGUAACCAUAAUUGGAUUUUGUGAUGAUUCUGUUGAAUUUUAUUUUUUACCUAUGUUCAUUUAUUGUUUCUACUAACCCAAUUUUUGCUUUACUUUUAUGUAGAUCUGACCAUGUUCAAGCAAUUCAACACCCCCUCUGCCCAAAAGAGGAAGACUGGUGAAGGUAACAACUCAACUCCUCCGAGCAAGGUUAUAAAGACUAUGCCACAUAGCCAGGGAAAACCAUCCGACCAGUCAGUCAUUCUCCCACGUUUGGCUCCUUCGUCAAUUCCCUUUUAUGCUAGUCUACAAACUACUUUGUCAACUUGCUUAAGUGAGCCUCUUCGCGUCAUUGGUGAAUAUGACAAAGAGUUACUGGACCAUACUCUUCACCAUGCAACUACAACUCAAACCUUUGAGACUCUACCUCGACAAAGCGUCGAAGUUGUCCUCCACAAAGGCCUUGCUCAAAUCAUGAGUGGACUUAUCACUGUUAGUCAUGCCCAACGCCGAGCAGACGACUAUAAAGAGUUGAUCAAGGUCUUGAAUGAUCAGUUGGUGGAAGCCCAAGCUAUGAUUGGAACUUUGACUAAAUCUGAGAAAGAUCUUCAAUCCAAGGCUGAGCAGGCAGAGAAGACAAUUGCUGAGCGAGACAGAUCUCUAAGGGAGUUGGCUGAUGAAAAUAAAAAAUAGAUCCAAACCAACAAGACGUUGACCGACCGGCUAGAGAAAAUGACUCAUGAGAAUGAAGAGUUGAAACAAGACAAAGAAGCUGAUCUUGCCCGUUAUGAAGAGAUCUAUUUCAACUGCUUCUAUUAGAUAUGGAAGCUAAACAAGCCCCUCAACCUCGACUUUCUCUCAGAGAGGCAAGGGCGGAAGAGCUUGCCAAAUGUCAGGCCAGGGCCGCCGAGGAGGCAGCUAAUCCAUAUGGUGUUGUGCCUGCUUCUCCUGCUCUAUCAUUUCAACAAGAGGAUGUCCCUGAUGCUGAGGACAGUGUUGACCAACCAGGCAACAGUCUACCCGACCAGUGAGCAUUUUGGGCCGACCAGAGAGCAUGCUCAACUUGACUAGUGAAAAUCUUGUUUCUAGUCAGUAGUUUAUUUCUUUUUCUCAUACUUUUGUGAAGACAAUUACUGCUCAGUAGUUAUUAUAUUUUUCUUGUACGACCGAGCUACCUGAAACUUUACUUUACUU